UUUGUUUAUCUCAACUCUCCUCAAGAAGGAGUCCGAAUCUGCACAGAUGCGUUUCCGGUGCAUUUCCAAUUCUCAGACGACACGAAGAUUCUGCAUGUUGGUUAUCAUGCGGAGAUGAAGAAGUGUCUUCUGGAUUAUCAUUACACUGAGGACAGCUACACUCAUCAUCACAUCAAGAUCUACAGCAUUGCAGCCUCACCACAGUAGAGAUGAAGCCUUGGAUUAUCAUCCAACUGAGGACAGCUAAUUUAUAAACUCAUCAUCACCAGCAAGAUCUACAAUGUCACAGCUUCAGCACAGAGGUGAAGGUGUAUCUCCUUGAUUAUAUCAUCAUACUUAGGACAUCUAAACUCAUCAUCACAUCAAGACCACAACAUCGCAGCCUCAGCACAAAGAUGAAGAUAUGUCUGUUGGAUUAUCAUUUCACUGAGGACAGCUUAUUUAUAAACUCAUCAUCACCUACAAUAUCUACAACCUUGUAGCCUUAGUAGAGCGGAGAUGAAGGUGUGUCUUCUGGAUUAUCAUCACACUGAGGACAGCUAAACUAAUCAUCACAUCAAGAUCUACAGCAUUGCAGCCUCACCACAGCGGAGAUGAAGGUGUGUCUUUUGGAUUAUCAUCACACUGAGGACAGCUAAACUCAACAUCAUAUCAGGAUCUCCAGCAUCGCAGCCUUACCAAAGCAGAGAUGAAGGUAUGUCUUUUGGAUUAUCAUCCAACUGAGGACAGCUUAUUUUUAACUCAUCAUCACCAGCAAGAUCUACAAUGUCACAGCUUCAGCACAGCGGAGAUGAAGGUGUGUCUUCUGGAUUAUCAUCACACUGAGGACAGCUAAACUCGUCAUCACAUCAAGAUCUCCAGCAUCGCAGCCUCACCACAGAGAUGAAGGUAUGUCUUUUGGAUUAUCAUCCAACUGAGGACAGCUUAUUUUUAACUCAUCAUCACCAGCAAGAUCUACAAUGUCACAGCUUCUGCACAGAGAUGAAGGUGUAUCUCCUUGAUUAUCAUCAUACUUACGACAUCUAAACUGAUCAUCACAUCAAGACCACAACAUCGCAGCCUCAGCACAGGAGUUGUUUUGGGAUGGCACUGAGUUUUCAACGGAUAUGACGGUAUGAUUCCUGGAUUAUCAUCACACUGACGACAGCUUUUUUAUAAACUCAUCAUCACUAGCAAGAUCUACAACGUUGCAGCCUCAGCACAGCAGAGAUGAAGGUAUGUCUCUUGGAUUAUCAUCCAACUGAGGACAGCUAAUUUAUAAACUCAUCAUUACGAGCAAGAUCUACAAUGUCACAGCUUCAGCACAGGUGACCCUUUCCAUACAGCAUGGUGGCUUCUUGGGGAACUGACUCUACCUAUCUUGUAAUGGAUAAUACCUAAAAAAGUAGGCGGUGAAAAACAGCAGCAAGAGCAGUGCAUUAUCUCAUCCAUGUGUAGAAUACAUGAUAUGUGGCAACAUUAUAAAUGUCAAAUGAUGUGCAAAGCCUGAUUUUAGACACCCAUUACAAGGAGGAAUCUGCAUCUGGUAUUGGUAGUAAGGAGAAAUCUUGAAUGGGUAUAUAUUGUUUCCUGAUGGCAGUAAUAGGUAAUUUGUCACCUCUUACACAACCAAACUCAAAUCAUAACAUUAAAUGCUUCAUUUGAUACUGAAUAAUAUUAUUGUAAUAUUGAAAAUUUUAUUUUUUGUAAUUCUCAAUCUUCUCAUAUCAAUUGCCAAUAAACAACGCAGUCAACUGAUACACUUAUCUCAGAUUAUUACAGUUGUUAAGCUUAUUUUUUACAAAUUUUACAAACAUUGGACUAGAUUUGUCAACAUCAUUUACAUUUGAAUAUGUUUAGGUAUGGAAUUUGCCAGUGUUUUCAAUCUUAUUUUUAGUUUUCUUAAAUAUUUUCUGAAAACAUCAUUUUCAUUAGGCACAGUCAACUGAUAAGCUGAUCUCAGAUUAUUUCAGUUGUUAAGCAUCAUUUGUAGAAAUUUCACGAACAUUGGACUUGAUUUGUCAAAAUUAUUAACAUAAAAGUAUUUUAAACCAUGGAAUUUGCCUUUUUUCUGUGCAAUUUUUAGUUUUCUCAAAUAUAUUGUCCGAAAAAUCAAUUUCAUUACACACAGUCAACUGAUAAGCUUAUGGCUGAUUAUUUCAGUUGUUAAUUAUAAGCUUCAUUGUGCAAAGUUCACAAAGAAUUAAGGAAAUUUCACAAAGUUAUUAACAUUUAACUAUUUUUAUAUACAGCAUCAGCAGUUUUUAUGUACAGACACAGAUGUGUCUGUAAAUAUAGCCGUCACCUUCGUCUGUCUUCGCCAUCGUCACCUUGCACUUUCACCGAUAACACAAUAAGUGAAAAAUCCUUUUACCUUUUGGCUUGAAACUUACAGAAC